UACGAAGGGGGCUAGCGUUGUUCGGAAUUACUGGGCGUAAAGCGCACGUAGGCGGUUUGUUAAGUCAGAGGUGAAAUCCCGGAGCUCAACUUCGGAACUGCCUUUGAUACUGGCAAUCUAGAGUCCGGAAGAGGUUAGUGGAAUUCCCAGUGUAGAGGUGAAAUUCGUAGAUAUUGGGAAGAACACCAGUGGCGAAGGCGGCUAACUGGUCCGGUACUGACGCUGAGGUGCGAAAGCGUGGGGAGCAAACAGG
rnacentral:rRNA from 1 species